AGCAACAGAGAAGAGAAGGAGGAGGUGGGAAAGAGAAUUCACUGUACUAGCAUCCAGAACUCUUGCCUUUUCCCAUUUGGAAAUUCCAAACCAAAGGGAUUCUGCAGUUUGAAGCAAAUAAAUCAAAAACGCCUUGGAUUUUGAGGAACGUCUUUCCCAUCCAAUCGUGUAGUCCUGCACUUACUUGUAUUCACCCUCCUCUGUUCUGGAGGGUGACAAUAGGUAAACAGCCACGCCCCCAAUAGAUUUCAAUAGGCUUCUGGAGGGAAAACUCAGACCGCUGAGGUGGGAACACUUAUUUGUCAGGAAGGAAUUGGGUGCCUUGGACGGAGAGCAGGCGGGGCCAGAGAAGUUGGAAUGAAGCCGAGGAAAAGUUCCUGAGAGGGAGGAGGCAAGGAGAAGAAUCUCUUCCACGUGACCUAGUUUCAGUUAUCACUGGGGCAGAGAAAUGACUUCUGUCUUGAGCCACGGGACAUGCUUAUAAUAAUCUGGCAGAAAGCCACAUGUUAACUGACUGAGUCCUCCUCCUGUGGAAUCAGGUUUUAUGCUGCAUAAUAAACAAAAGCCUUGAAGAUAAAUUCCAUCGCUGAUACUGAUGGAGGUGAAUGUAGGUUUGGGAAAUCCAACAUGAUCAAUCAUUUAUUUAUUUGUAUAUUGAUUAAAGCUUUUUAUUUUCAAACCAUA